GGGGAGGAAAAGCUAGGAGAGGAAGGGAGAAAGGAAGAAGGAGGAGCACAGAGUCUCCCAGUUGACAGCCUGGAGCGGACCUCUGGUCAUCUGGUGCGGGAGAAGAGAGACGCCGAGGCCUCCCAAAAAUAUGGUCAUGCAGUGCUGCAGGGCUCCUGACGGUCCACAAACUCAUCCUGCUUUGUUUGCUGUUCUUCCUGCUUCCCAUCUGCAUACCUCUGCAUAAACAACUCCGAAUGGUUCUCACUAAGUAGAACGGACGUCUGAUGAAAAGAUGCAGCGAAUGUCCAAGCCACUCUCACUGACUCUCCAAGCAAGAGACAAGAACUCAAAGCAAGAGACAAGAACUCAAAGCAAGAGGCAGAGGCAGGCCAGCAUGAGGAAGACAAAGGUGAAGAGGCCCGAGAAGGAGAUGGCAACCACAGCCAGGGAGGAUGACCAGGAGAGCUCGCUCAGCGGAGUGCCAUCUGCAGGAAACAGAGAGCAAAGCACAAUGU